rnacentral:rRNA from 1 species
GACGAACGCUGGCGGCGUGCUUAACACAUGCAAGUCGAACGCUGAAGCUCAGCUUUUGUUGGGUGGAUGAGUGGCGAACGGGUGAGUAACACGUGAGUAACCUGCCCCCUUCUUUGGGAUAACGCCCGGAAACGGGUGCUAAUACUGGAUAUUCACUGGUCUUCGCAUGGGGGUUGGUGGAAAGGGUUUUUCUGGUGGGGGAUGGGCUCGCGGCCUAUCAGCUUGUUGGUGGGGUGAUGGCCUACCAAGGCUUUGACGGGUAGCCGGCCUGAGAGGGUGACCGGUCACAUUGGGACUGAGAUACGGCCCAGACUCCUACGGGAGGCAGCAGUGGGGAAUAUUGCACAAUGGGCGCAAGCCUGAUGCAGCGACGCCGCGUGAGGGAUGGGGGCCUUCGGGUUGUGAACCUCUUUCGCUAAUGGUCAAGCCGCAACAAUGGUUGUGGUGAGGGUAGUGGGUAAAGAAGCGCCGGCUAACUACGUG